rnacentral:tRNA from 1 species
GCCCCCGUAGCUCAACGGAUAGAGUGUAGGUUUGCGGAACCUAAGACCGUGGUUCGAUUCCACGCGGGGGCA